GGCCACAGCCAUGUCACUCUGCAGCCCAAGACUGGUUACUCACUGAAGCUAAGCAGGGCUGAGGCUGGUCAGUACCUGGAUGGGAGACCACUAGGGAACACUGUUGGAAGUGGUGU
ensembl:rRNA 5S_rRNA 5S ribosomal RNA